AUGUCCCCGCAGCACAUCCCCAGCCGCUGCACCUCCGUCCUCGCGGUCACCACGGGCACCCGCAGGGCGUCCACGCGCCAGGACCACGGGGGUGAAGGGCUCUGCCCCAAAUCACGCCCCUGCGAGCAGCUCAGCGUCCCCUCCGCUCCCAUCCUGCCGGGCCAGCACCACCGUCCCGCUACGGACACCACGUCCAGGUCCUUCAGCACCACCGGGUGCCCACGUCCCCAAGCCCCCCGCGCGGCUCAGGGCUGCAGCAGGUACUUCUCCUCGUUCCUCGCCUCAUCCGCGUCGGAGGGGGGACCCUUCUUGGGGCACGACGGGGUCCUGCAGGCCUUGCAGAGGAUGAGGAAGAGGAUGAGGAUGAGCAAGGCGAUGAUGCAGUUGAAAGAAAUCGCAACGACUGCUCCGGUGGAGAGAGCCGCCCCCAUCGCCGCUGCCCCGUGGGGAGGAGCGGGACCCCCGGCUCGGCCCCGCACUUGGGACGCCGGCACAGCCUGCACCCGGGGGCAUUGGCGGGGGACAGCGGGGACGGGACGGCUGCGGUGUGGGCAGCGGGACGGCAGGUGGGUGGGUGGCAGGACCCCCAGUACAGCCGGGCCUCCGGGAGCUGUGACCUCGGCUCGGAGCUUUCCCAAAGCUUCCACUCCUCCGGCAGCGCGGCGGGGAUGCGUCUGCUCCCUCCGGGACCUGGAAGGGAGAAAGUCACCGUCACCGCCGGCACCGGGGUGCCCGAGCCCCCCGGGGGAGGUGGGAGCCUCCUGCAAAGCCCCGAGGAGGCUCGGGGGGCCGGCGGCUGCUGUUUGGGGGGCUCGGUGCAGGCUCCGCGGGCGCUCCCCGGCUGCCUCCCUCCAUCCCAGGCCGGGGCUGGGGGCACGGAGCCGGAGGUGUCCCGGGGGCCCCAAAUCCCGUCCCCAGCCUCCCUCCCGGGGCAGCCCCAUCCCCGAUGCCGGCCGCCGGCCGCUCUCCGUGCGCUUCUCCCCCCCAAAACGCGGCGAGGCCCCCCCAUGCCCCAACACCGCGGAGAAGGGAGGAGGAUGA
rnacentral:lncRNA from 1 species